rnacentral:rRNA from 1 species
CAAUACGGAAGGUACACGAGUGGCGCACGGGUGCGUAACGCGUAUGUAAUCUGCCCUUGACCGGAACAAAACAGCUGGAAACGGCUGCUAAUAUUCCAUGGUCAUUUUCGGAGGCAUCUCUGGGGAUGUAAAGAUUUAUUGGUCAAGGAUGAGCAUGCGUAUUAUUAGAUAGUUGGUGGGGUAACGGCCCACCAAGUCGACGAUGAUUAGGGGUUCUGAGAGGAUUAACCCCCACACUGGAACUGAGACACGGUCCAGACUCCUACGGGAGGCAGCAGUAGGGAAUAUUGGGCAAUGGAAGGAAUUCUGACCCAGCCAUGCCGCGUGAAGGAAGACGGUCCUAUGGAUUGUAAACUUCUUUUAUCGCAGAGUAAAUUGGGGCACGUGUGCCCCAUUGAGAGUAUGCGAUGAAUAAGUAUCGGCUAACUCCGUGCCAGCAGCCGCGGUAAUACGGAGGAUACGAGCGUUAUCCGGAUUUAUUGGGUUUAAAGGGUGCGCAGGCGGAUCGGUAAGUCAGGUGUGAAAAGUUCGUGCUUAACAUGAAUCGUGCCUUUGAUACUGCCGGACUAGAGUGCAAUAGACGUGGGCGGAAUGUGAUGUGUAGCGGUGAAAUGCUUAGAUAUGUCACAGAACACCGAUCGAGAAGUCAGCUCACGAGUUUGCAACUGACGCUCAUGCACGAAAGCGUGGGGAUCAAACAGGAUUAGAUACCCUGGUAGUCCACGCUGUAAACGAUGAUCACUCGUUGUUGGCCGGCGACGGUCAGUGGCCAAGCGAAAGCGAUAAGUGAUCCACCUGGGGAGUACGAUCGCAAGGUUGAAACUCAAAGGAAUUGACGGGGGCCCGCACAAGCGGAGGAGCAUGUGGUUUAAUUCGAUGUUACGCGAGGAACCUUACCCGGGCUUGAACGUAAGACGACGACGCAGGAGACUGCGUUUCCUUCGGGCGUUUUGCGAGGUGCUGCAUGGUUGUCGUCAGCUCGUGCCGUGAGGUGUUAGGUUAAGUCCUGCAACGAGCGCAACCCUUACUUUUAGUUGCCAGCAUGUAAAGAUGGGGACU